CCACUGUGCCAGGCCGGGGACUGAAUCCAUGCCCCAGUCCUCCCAAGACACCACCAGUCCUGAUGUGCUACAUCGGGAGCUCCAGCUAAGUGCUCUAAAUACUAUAUUCCAUUUAAUUCUCACAAGACUGCUCUGAUGUAGGUACUGUUACUGAGAAGAGAUACCAUAUAAUGAUUUUGACUCUGGGCUUUAGAACUAGAUUUGCCUGGGAUGGAUCCCAGCCCCAUCAUUAGCUGGCUAUGUAAUCCUGGGCAAAUUACCUAACUUCUCUCACACAUAGAAUGAGGAUAAUAAUAGUACUUAUCUCGGGGGGGGGGGGGAGCUUUUCAUGAGUUAAUAUAUAUAAUGUCCUUGGAUUUGGACUGUGGACUGUUUAGAAUGUAGACUGUGAAGCCAGGCUGCUAGGGUUCACAUCUCAGCUUCAGUAUUUAUGAGCUAAGUGGCCCUGGGCAAGUUACCUAACUUAACAGUGCCUCAGUUUCCCCCUCUAGAAAAUGAGUGUGGCCAAAAGAGUACUGACCUAAUACAGUUUUGAGAAGGACUGAAUAAGUUAUAUCUGUAAAGUGCUUAGAGCAGAUCUUGGCAAUAAUAUGCUUUGGAGACUAAGUCUGAAUACCCUCUUCUGGGCCUUCUUUCAACUUGUUAAAUCAAAAAUAAACAUUUAUAUAUACUUUAUUGUCUAAAUAAAGAAUUGUAUGCACUUUCAAAAUAAAAAAUAAGUGAAUAAACACCAUGCAUACCAUAUAUUUGAUAUGUGUUUAUUAUGCUUAUUAACCCUUAUAUAACAUGAGAGGAAACUGAAACUUGGGGAGAUCAAAUAACUUUUCAAGGUCACACAGCUAGUGCGUGAUGCAGCCAGUAUUUAAACGCAGAGUCCAGAGCCUUCAUUACUUUAAUUAUCAUACUACACUGCUAUUGCAGGAAAAGUAGUGAGACACUGCAGAUGUUUGGAGAUUUACCUUGUUCUUGAGGGUGGAUUCUGACUUUAUUAUCUAGUCUGUAUGUAUAGGUGUGUAUAUUUUAAGAGCUUUGUCAAGGAGCAGGAGUGUCAUUUCAACCUAUUCCACCCAACCUACACUAUCCUUAAUUUUGUUCAAAAUAUCUAGCUUCCAAAUAGACAGCCUAAUUCUCAAUCUGUCAUUCUGUAUAUACAAUCAGUAGGAGCUCCCCACCCAAAGGAGAAGAGCACUGAAACUAAAAAUUCUCAAGCAAGCAGCCUGUGAUUCCAGAAUUAACCUCAUGCUGCUGCCAUCAUGAGCCCUUGGGCUGAGAUGUGGCUCUGGUGGAGAAAAUGAAUGAAUCACCAUUAGGUUUUGUUGUUGCUGUUGUUAGUCUUUAGCUAUAUGGAACAGCACCACUUUAAAUAAUUAAAGAAAUGCGAAGGAAAAAAAUAAAAGAAAGUGAUUCCUUUCUCUGCUGAUAAAGCCAGGACGUGUCAAUAUUAAUUAGCUGAGAAGGAAGAGAGGGAAAACUUUCAGAUGCUUUUCUAGGAACAGUUGUGCUUAACUAAAAGGCAUAGGUAGCAGGAAAUCAGAUAUAAAACUGGAAUAGCAUCAGACCAUAAAGAAAAUAUAAUUAUUAUUUUGUUCAACCAUCCACUUCCCAUCAAACAUUCACAUACGCAUAAACAUCCUUUUUACUGUAGGCUCAAUGAUUUCAUUCUGUGUCUCCAACUAUUAGCUCUUUUUCCCCAGUUUAUUUUCCCCUUAAAAUAUCUAUUCUAUCAAUUUUGAUGACCACAUCUACAGGUGACACCUGAACUUUUAUGUCUCACAUUUGUAACUACAGCCUAGAAAUAACUGCAUGUUUAUCCUGCCAUCAGUCCAAAUCAGAUAUAUUUCAAGGCAAAUACAAUUCCACUUCUACCUAGGAUGCAGAGAGCUGGAAAGAAUAUUAUUUCCACCUUAGUAAAAAGAAAAAGCUAGAUAAACAACAACCAUACCUUUUCUUAAACUCAUCAAACAGCUGAGACUGCAGGGUUAAAAAAAAAAAAAAAAAAAGGACAAACUUUCAAGGAGAGAGAGGUGGAGAACAUUGGCUCACUUGCAGCAGAGCACAAGAGGAAGAAACUCCAGAUGCUUCAAGCAGGUAAGAAGAUUACAACUAAUUUUUUAAUGAAUUGCUAAAGGCUGAGGGCUAGUGAGAGCGUUUAGAACCCUGAAAACUGCAGACACAAGGGAAGUUCACACCCACCUAUGGCUUCUCUCCAUGAAUAUCCACUGCCUGUGUGUCAGUAUAUGUGUAGUGGAGCGUACUGGGUGUCCAAACAGGGCCACUCUAUAGGGACAGGAAACAUUUACAGAUGAAUAUCAGUGACACCGCAGUGGGGGAAAAAAGUUACAGAGGACUACAUACAGCUUAACUAUCAUGCACACGCAUGUGUUUGUGUUUGGGAAGGAAAUUGGAGGAGGCAGGGGGGAAACCUGAAUUCCCAGUUUGGCUUGGAGAUAAAAGGUUUUAGGCAUCAACUAUUGUUUGGCUUUUUUUCAAUAAUUUUUCAACAAUUUCAUUAAAACCAUGAUGAGAUGUAGAAGCAGCCCUCUGAAAUCAAGACUGAGAAACGGUUGAGAUGAAAGACAUAGUGUGGCC
ensembl:lncRNA